UUAGUUUAGUUUAGAUUGGUCUUAAUUUGGUGAGCCUGGGAUCUUCACCGGUUUCCUUCAGCAGAUCAUGCAACAGAAACCCCGUCUUCUGUAGCCAAGGCUGGCCUUUAACUUGCUGUAUACCUGCAGAUAGCCUUAAACUUUGGAACCUCCUGUCCUUACCUCCAAGUGCUGGAAUUAUUAUAUGAACACUACCAAAUGUGGUCUGUGCCAUGCUGGGGACAAGCUGGAGCUUUGUGUACAAUAGGUGUUGUAGCUGUUCCCAAUGCAGUUCCAAUUUAUCUCCCAGCCCAGGAUUUUACUGAACAGAAAUAGCAGAGGGAAUAGUUGUUGAAUGAACAUACUCGACUUAUGCUGUACGGGAACUGUUCGCUCACCUGGAGUCUGCCUCUGACAUCAGCCCAGUGCCAGAUCGAGCAGUACUUUGUGUUCCCAGCAACCAGGGAGGAGCUGAGUACACAGUAGGUGCUCAAUAAAUGUGAAGAAAAUAAGGACUCUUUCUGACCUCCACGCUAGCUGCUCUUUUAAAUAGAAACAAUCCCAUGGCAUUUGGCAUUUUAAAUGUGUAUUAAUCUUGUGAAAUAUUUUUGUUUCUAAAUUGACAAAACACUAUCAGAAAGACUGUGAAGGCAAAGCUAUCAGCCACUUACAGAGCUGAAUGUGGUAAUGAGGAAAAGCAUCAUUUCCUGUGGUUUGACAAUAAUGUGACAGGAAUGGUUUCUGCUGUUUUGAAUAGAUUAUGAACAUAACUUGACCCUCUCCAUUGAUACUUGAAGCUGUGGAAUCCUACUAAAUAAAUAUGACCUAUUCCUCAGCCAAUCAGGUACAGUACUUAUGGAUAGCUUGGAGCACUCAUGAUAUUGCUAAAUUCCCUGAGGGGUUUUCAAACAUUGGACCUCUCUCUCUCUCUCUCUCUCUCUCUCUCUCUCUCUCUCUCUCUCUCUCUCUUUCUCUUUUAGAAAGCCUUGCUAUAUAGCCUUAGCUGGUCUGGAACUUGAUGUAUAUAAAUCAGGCUGGCCUAAAAUUUGUGCUAAUUUUCCUGUUUCUACCUCCAGAGUACUCAGGCUUGUAUCAUCUUUCCUGCUUUCCAGUGUUGGUUUCUGUUCCCAACAAUUUUACACUUUAGUUUAAAAGAAGAUGUGAACAGAGGAAGGACUUAGCAAUAAGAAGUAUUUCUCUGGAAAACUCACCAUAGUGUGUGUCUGUCUGUCUGUCUGUCUGUAGAAGGUGUCUUUACUCAAGUUGGCCUGUACAGACAACAGAGAUUGGUAUCCAUAUAUCUUUCUCAAUGGCUUCUUCACCACAUCUUUAAAGACAGGGUUUCUCACUGAACCUGUUUUGCAGUUUGGGCUAGACUGGCUAAACUUCAGGGUUGAUCUCCAUUUGUUUGUUUGGUUGGUUGGUUAGAGCACAAAAAUGAAGAUCAUACAACAACUUGCAGGAGUCAGGUCCUUCUUUCCCUCUACCUUCUGUGGCUUGGGGAUGGAGCAAAUGUGGUUAGGCUUGGUAGCAGGCACCUUUUCCUUACUCUUGUCUAAAGUCUCUUAUUGAGCCAUCUUACCAGUCUGUUAUUUAUUUACUUAAGACAGGGUCUCGUGUAUCUCAUGCUGGUUGUAAACUCGCUAUAUCUCUCAGGAUGGCCUAGAACUUCUAAUAUUUCUGCCUCAACCCCUGAAACAUGGAAUUUAGAAAUUCAAGGGAGCAAUGACUUUGCACUUGCUACUCAAAAUUAAAUGAAAACAGUAUCUCCUAAUUAAUGGAGGACACGGAAAACAGGUACUAUGGCUUUUUACCUAUGAGUAUAUGUCUGUGGCAAACAAAAUACUCAACAUGAAAUAGACAAUCAGUAGAUAUUGUUAGAGUAAACUAAUGAUCCAUCAUUCUGGCUUAAUGUAGAGAAGAUGUUGCUGGCUGUAGGUACGGAUUCAAAUCAGCUUAACCAAUAUCAAUGGUAAGCUAGUAUAUACAGCUCUCUAAAUAUAUCCUUUCACAAGAAAUUUUAAAGGGCCAGGCAUGGUGAUGUUUCAAGUCUCAGCUCCAGGGAGACUGCAGCAGAGAGAUCCUGGCUAGCCUGAACUAAAUAGUGAGACCCUGGUCUCAGAGCAAAACAAAAUAAAACA